UAGGGCUUCCAUAUUUAGCCUCUGGUUUCUCUUUUUCAAAUGAACACAACCUUUAAAGUUAAAAAUAUACUCAUCUCUAAGUACUGUAAAGGAAAAGGAAAUUCCUAAAAAUUCAUUCUUCUUCCUCUUGUAUCAGGAAUAUUUAAAUUAAUCUAAGCGUAAGUCAUCCCGAAUUGGAUAGAGCUAGCUUUAAGUAGCCUACAUGUAGCAAAAUGUUAAUUAACCUAAACCUAGAAGAGAUAUCUUAGCCAUUAUCCUUAUAUCUGGUUGCCCUCGACCCGAUUCAAUUGGAUUUUAUUUUAUUGUCAAAUUAAAAUUUAUUUUAGAAGGGAUAACCCUUUUUUAAUUCCAAAAGAGGCUCUCAACUCACCAAUGUAAGGUUAAAACCCUUUCAAAUUUGAUUGACUUUGAUCUCUGGAGUGUAGGGGGACAAAUUGUCUAACUUUUCCCAAUUAAGAUAAUAAAUUUAUUAGUAUUAUUCAAUUAACUCAAUUUUCAAGACUAACCUCUUAAAAGUAUUAUUUAGUUCAGGAACUCGGCAAACAUUUCCCCCGUCUGUUUAUCAAAGACAUAGCCUAAUAUAUUAAUCUUAGGUAAAACCUGCCCAAUGAGAAUUAAAUGGCCGCAGUAUCCUGACUGUGCUAAGGUAGCAUAAUCAUUUGUCUCCUAAUUAGAGACUGGCAUGAAUGGUUAGACGAGGGGAACACUUUCUUAGCUAAACUGUCUAAAAAUAUCAUUAAAGUUAAAAGCCUUUAAAACUUUAGAGGGACGACAAGACCCUAUAAAACUUUACCUCCUAUAGAUUUUAAACUUAAGAGAUUUAAUCCUCUAGACGGGGUUUUGCUGGGGCGGCAAAUUUUUAAACCUAACACAAUCCAAUUCAACUAGCUCAAGAAUUUAACACGCCUUUCCUAAAGAAAAGGAACAAGUUACUUUAGGGAUAACAGCGUUAUACCUUUUUAGAGCCCCUAUCGCCAAAGGUGUUUGCGACCUCGAUGUUGAAUUGAAAUACCUGCUUUGAGCAGCACCAAAGCAAGGGAGUCUGUUCGACUCUUUAAAUUUUCACAUGAUUUGAGUUCAGACCGGCGUAAGCCAGGUUAGUUUCUAUCUUCUAAAAUUCAUUAAACCUCUAAUUGUACGAAAGGACCUUAGAGGUAAGAAACUCUUUCUCAACAGAAUCAAAUUAAACAAAAUUCAUAAUUCUAUUAAACCCCAU
rnacentral:rRNA from 1 species